rnacentral:lncRNA from 1 species
GAAAAAUGAAAAAGAAAUUUUGAAUUAAAAAAUACGUGAAUAAGUUAGAUACCAUCAGGGUUUGAAGACUACAUUGCUGUGGUGAUAAAAAAAAAGUGAUAUACUUGGACAUUAUAUACUGAAACAGGAUUAAAAUAUACAAACCAAUAUAAAAAUAUAGUGAAUUCAAAGAUAUAUAUAUAUAUUUCGUUUUCGGAUAACCAGCCAAACAUCAAAGUA